AUUUUUGUUUAGUUAAUAGACUGGCAACCGUGCGUGCAUAGUUUAAGUGCAAUGGACGGGUAAAAAUUCUUGUGUUUAUAAAAUCCUUUGGUUUAUUUGAUAGUUUUAUAGUUAUUGCCCCCCGGUUUAUUUUAUACCGAGUGAAUGAACGUUUUUUAAAUAAAGUUUCCGUUGAUGUGAGCGACUUCCCGCUUUUCCUAGCGCCAAACCCUCAAUUUAAGAGACUUUCAAACAAAUGUCAUAAUAUUUCAUUUAUCUGCACACCGUUUCUACUGCAAAAUAUGGACUUGUCAGGGAUUUCACAUGACCAAACCGAAGCGGGAAGCUCGAGGGGCAGCGAGGGCUCCCUGCAGGACCUAUCGGACAUUUUGGAUCUUAGCGGUGUGGAUUUAGAAGACGAAGAAACUUGGCUUUACAAGCCUACCGAAAACGGUGAUGCCGCAAAUUGGAUAUUUGACAAGAGCGGGGAUCCCUCGUUUAUCUCCCAACUACCUCCGGAAUUUAACGUUCCAAAACUGAAAUCCACAAAAAUGAUCGACACACGCACAUUCACUAGACCCAAAAAGAAAUUCGCCAGGCCAAGCAUUAACGAUAUCGAGCAGAUGUAUUUGAGCGGAAGCGAUGUCAACGAAAUGAAUUCUUCUACAGAGGAUAAAUACAUUUCUAACAACAAAGUGCCUCAAACAGUACAAGAAGAACAAGAAUCCGAAUCCCCUAGACCGGUACAAUUCGACUUAUCGCAACCGACCAGUUUGCACAACUUCGACAGUUUCACGAUGAACGGUUUGGAUAUCGAUUCGUUCCAAAACAUGUCGCCCCCCAGUCUAGUCAACUCGUUAUGCUCCUCCACUUUUGCCAACCUGAUGGAGAGCAGUUUCAUUAAAAACGAUCCGGUUUUACGGGAAAUCCGCGAUAAAGAUUUUACGGAAACCGCUAUGUUGCAGGACAUCGAGGCCCCGAUGUUCCAGAGUAUCAGCGAGAGUUUGAGCAGCAUUAAUUCUGAUACGCCGGAGAACUUUUUGAAGAAAGUUAGCAGGGAUCAGACUUUUAGGAGAAACGUCUCGGUUUUGGAGAGUAACAAUACGACCUUAACGCCUGAAAUGUGCGAGGAUGGCGUUAAAGGUUGCAAUGAGACCUUUGAUAUUCAAAUUUCUAAAGGUGACCCUCAACAGAACUCAAAAAAAUCCUCAACGUUCCGCAUUGAAACCCAAUCGGACGACACGAAAACCGCCCCUAAUAAGGCCGAAAUCCUGAACGGUACCUAUCGUAGGACCCCGAAGCAUCACGGCACCUUCCGGAAGGCAGACCUAAAAAACAACAGGUUCAGCCUCAAUCUCUCUUACGACACCACUAAGGAGGCUCAGGUUUUGGAUAGGGACGUUUCGAAAAGUAUAGAGAACGACAUGAACACGACAAACAAAGAGGAUUCGACAAAAUCGAGCGGGAAAACUGUGAUCUUAAGUAGCGACAGCAUGGAGGAGUUGAAGAAGGGUUAUUCGUGUGAAGAGCAAGUGGAUCUGAAUAGAAUUACGUAUUGUCAAAGUGAGAAGGACGACCUUAAUGCUACUUAUACCGAGGAGCAUGUUAGUAGUGAAGUUAAUAGCACCGUGGAAAUUAAUAAGAGGUCUUCUCUGGGUUCGGCAGAUAGCCUCGAUAGGAUGAGCAGUUUGUCUAGCAGCAGUAAGGGUUCAAAUUGCAAGGUGUUAAGUAUGGAGGACGUGCAGGCCAUUGUAGAGAUGCAAGAAAGAAGUUUAGCACAAGUGAUGUCCACCCCUAAAGGUCCAAUAGUGGGAGGCAAAAAGUCCCUUUGGGCGCACAAUUUUAUAUCACCCAUCGUUGCCAAUAACAGGGACCAUCUGUCCGAUUCCGAUUUAUCCGACGACUAUAAGAGUGUCAAUUCGCAACCAUCCUCUAAGGUUUCCUUAGACAAUUGGACGAACCCUAGUGCCAAAAACUUACCCCAUCCGAUACCCAAUAAGGACGUCAAAAUCAAAACGAGUCAAAGAAGCGCCUAUACGAUAUCAAACAAACCCUUGCAAGCUUUACCGAGCGGUAUCAGGGGCUCGUACAGCAACAUCAGUACCUUGAAAAACACUAAAUUAACUUUAGGUGGUUCGCAACAAAACUUGUACAGACCACCGAGUCAAAUGGUACGACCGCCAUCUACGAGUAACUUACAAACGAUGGGUACUAAACUGAAAGGAUCUUACACGAGUUUAAGGCCUAUUAGCGCUAACUUACCGGUGGCGCCCCCUAUCGAGGAGGGCAACUUUAACGGCACCCAAACGAUCACCAGGUCUCAUAGGAGCAAUAAAGGUGUUAAUGUGGCUAAAAUGCAGGUACCUGCACCUCAGACCAAACUAAUUUCCGUUCCGGCCCAAGUGGGGGGCGACAGUACCUUCGUAAAACCUCAGAGUGCUGGUGGUGGUACCAAAACGAGCGGUUUACCCCGGCCAACAGGAAUUCCUAGACCGGCCUCGCGUAUCCCCGGUCCACGCAGUACCACCAAUUUAAGGUAACAGGAUGAUAUUGCUUGCAAGAACCUUCGCCCUUUUUUUAUCUUCUAUAGAACGCCUGUAACGUUUCGAAGCACGAAUUACUGACCUUUAUUGACAUUUGUACAUUGUUACUGCGCCGAACCAGUGCCUUAUAUUGUAAUAUUGAUCUGAUCCAUAGUGUUGUUACAUAUCUGUUCCAACAAUAAAUCCGUUUUUUUGUAUUGAUUUAA